rnacentral:rRNA from 1 species
AUUGAACGCUGGCGGCAGGCUUAACACAUGCAAGUCGAACGAGUGGCGGACGGGUGAGUAAUGCUUGGGAAUCUGGCUUAUGGAGGGGGAUAACUACGGGAAACGGUCGCUAAUACCGCAUACCAUCAGAUGAGCCCAGGGGGGAUUAGCUAGUUGGUGGGGUAAUGGCCUACCAAGACGACGAUCCCUAGCUGGUCUGAGAGGAUGACCAGCCACACCGGGACUGAGACACGGCCCGGACUCCUACGGGAGGCAGCAGUGGGGAAUAUUGCGCAAUGGGGGCAAGCCUGACGCAGCCAUGCCGCGUGAAUGAAGAAGGCCUUCGGGUUGUAAAGUUCUUUCGGUGACGAGGCGUUAAUCACAGAAGAAGCACCGGCUAACUCCGUGCCAGCCGCCGCGGUAAUUC